UACGAAGGGGACUAGCGUUGUUCGGAAUUACUGGGCGUAAAGCGCACGUAGGCGGAUUUGUUAGCCAGGGGUGAAAUCCCGGGGCUCAACCUCGGAACUGCCUUUGAUACUGCAAGUCUCGAGUCCGAUAGAGGUGGGUGGAAUUCCUAGUGUAGAGGUGAAAUUCGUAGAUAUUAGGAAGAACACCGGUGGCGAAGGCGGCCCACUGGAUCGGUACUGACGCUGAGGUGCGAAAGCGUGGGGAGCAAACAGG
rnacentral:rRNA from 1 species